CGGGGGGUGCGAGCGUUGUCCGGAAUCACUGGGCGUAAAGGGCGCGUAGGUGGCCUGAUAAGGGUGUGGUGAAAGUCCGGGGCUCAACCCCGGAUCUGCCGUGCCGACUGUUAGGCUAGAGUACUGUAGGGGCAGGCGGAAUUCCGGGUGUAGCGGUGGAAUGCGUAGAGAUCCGGAGGAAGACCGGUGGCGAAGGCGGCCUGCUGGGCAGUUACUGACACUGAGGCGCGACAGCGUGGGGAGCAAACAGGAUUAGAUACCCUGGUAGUCCACGCCGUAAACGAUGGGUAUUAGGUGCCUGGGGGAGCGACCCCUUGGGUGCCGGCGCUAACGCAGGAAGUACCCCGCCUGGGGAGUACGGCCGCAAGGCUG
rnacentral:rRNA from 1 species